AGCAGAGCGCAAGCAGAGAAGCUGUAACAAGCAACAAUGGCCUCUGUUCCUUCUUCCACCGGCACGGUGCUCUUCAACCUCCCUCGAACCCGUCCCUCACCGAACCCUGUCGCCGUACCAUUCCCUUCCCGGUUCAGAUGCUCGGCCGGCCAAACCGGCUUCUUCACCCGACUCGGCCGGUUGAUCAAAGAGAAAGCCAAGAGCGACGUCGACAAGCUCGUCUCCGGGUUCUCCAAGACCCGCACUAACCUCGCCGUCAUCGACGAGCUCCUCCUGUACUGGAACCUCUCCGACACCGACCGCAUUCUCGACGAGUUGGAAGAGGCUCUGCUGGUGGCUGAUUUUGGACCAAAGAUCACUGUUAAGAUUGUAGAGAGCUUGCGGGAGGAUAUAUAUGGUGGGAAGCUCAAAUCAGGAAGUGAGAUAAAGGAUGCUUUGAAGAGAAGUGUGUUGGAUUUAUUAUCUAAGAAAGGGAGUAAAACAGAUCUUCAACUUGGAUUCAGGAAACCAGCUGUUAUAAUGAUUGUGGGUGUUAAUGGAGGUGGAAAAACUACAUCUCUUGGUAAGCUGGCACACAGAUUGAAGAAGGAAGGGGCUAAGAUACUGAUGGCGGCAGGUGAUACAUUUAGAGCAGCUGCUAGUGAUCAACUGGAGAUUUGGGCUGAGAGGACAGGAUGUGAAAUUGUUGUGGCUGAAAAGGACAAGGCCAAAGCAUCAUCAGUUCUUUCACAGGCUGUGAAAAGAGGGAAAGAAGAAGGAUUUGAUGUUGUUUUAUGUGACACAUCUGGGCGUCUGCACACUAAUUAUAGUCUGAUGGAAGAAUUGAUUGCAUGCAAGAAAGCUGUUGGUAAAGUCGUUUCUGGUGCACCCAAUGAAAUCCUGUUAGUUCUGGAUGGAACAACUGGCUUGAACAUGCUUCCACAAGCUAGGGAGUUCAAUGAGGUAGUUGGCAUUACAGGUUUAAUUUUGACAAAGCUUGAUGGUUCCGCCAGAGGUGGCUGUGUGGUCAGUGUGGUUGAUGAGCUUGGCAUUCCUGUAAAGUUUGUGGGUGUGGGGGAAGGCGUAGAAGACCUCCAACCCUUUGAUGAUGAGGCAUUUAUUGAGGCUGUAUUUUCGUGAGGCUGGAAAAGAGUGUUGGUUGGCGUCACGAACAAUUCUUCUGUUGAACCAUAUCCUAAUUCCAUCAAUAAGCUCUUCAACAUGUGGCACUUGUGAAAGGAGAGGAAUUCUAGAUUCUUACAAGUUUCAGGCUCUGUUUCAGUUUUUGAGGGUGUGGGUUUGUUUGUACUACGUUUGCCCCCUUUAUGGCAUUUCUUUGAUAAAAAAUGGGCUCUCCUCUUCAUAAUCCAUCGGAAGCUCUGCAACAUACCAAGCUCAAGUCAAGCCAGGCGAUCGAGUAAGCAAGAACAUCUUAGUUGCAUGUAAACGCGGAGGGUUAUUCUGAAUUUUGACCUUCAAAAACAGAGCGAUGACAGGUUUUCUUGCUGUUUUUUGAGUCUCUACACAAAUGGUCAAGGGAAGGGCAUAAGAUGGUGGUAGCAUAUCAUGUUGGUUAGUAAUAAAGGUUUUGUAGCUUCACUCGAUUUUACAUUUGUACUGAUUUAUGCAUCACUCGCUAAUGAAUGAAUUGUUAAAAAUGGUUAAAGAGUGUUA